GAUCGAACGCUGGCGGGAUGCUUUACACAUGCAAGUCGAACGGCAGCGCGAGAGAGCUUGCUCUCUUGGCGGCGAGUGGCGGACGGGUGAGUAAUAUAUCGGAACGUGCCCAGUAGCGGGGGAUAACUACUCGAAAGAGUGGCUAAUACCGCAUACGCCCUACGGGGGAAAGGGGGGGAUCGCAAGACCUCUCACUAUUGGAGCGGCCGAUAUCGGAUUAGCUAGUUGGUGGGGUAAAGGCUCACCAAGGCAACGAUCCGUAGCUGGUUUGAGAGGACGACCAGCCACACUUGAACUGAGAAAUGGCCCAGACUCCUACGGGAGGCAGCAGUGGGGAAUUUUGGACAAUUGGGGAAACCCUGAUCCAGCCAUCCCGCGUGUAUGAUGAAGGCCUUCGGGUUGUAAAGUACUUUUGGCAGAGAAGAAAAGGUAUCCCCUAAUACGGGAUACUGCUGACGGUAUCUGCAGAAUAAGCACCGGCUAACUACGUGCCAGCAGCCGCGGUAAUACGUAGGGUGCAAGCGUUAAUCGGAAUUACUGGGCGUAAAGCGUGUGUAGGCGGUUCGGAAAGAAAGAUGUGAAAUCCCAGGGCUCAACCUUGGAACUGCAUUUUUAACUGCCGAGCUAGAGUAUGUCAGAGGGGGGUAGAAUUCCACGUGUAGCAGUGAAAUGCGUAGAUAUGUGGAGGAAUACCGAUGGCGAAAGGCAGCCCCCUGGGAUAAUACUGACGCUCAGACACGAAAGCGUGGGGAGCAAACAGGAUUAGAUACCCUGGUAGUCCACGCCCUAAACGAUGUCAACUAGCUGUUGGGGCCGUUAGGCCUUAGUAGCGCAGCUAACGCGUGAAGUUGACCGCCUGGGGAGUACGGUCGCAAGAUUAAAACUCAAAGGAAUUGACGGGGACCCGCACAAGCGGUGGAUGAUGUGGAUUAAUUCGAUGCAACGCGAAAAACCUUACCUACCCUUGACAUGUCUGGAAAGCCGAAGAGAUUUGGCCGUGCUCGCAAGAGAACCGGAACACAGGUGCUGCAUGGCUGUCGUCAGCUCGUGUCGUGAGAUGUUGGGUUAAGUCCCGCAACGAGCGCAACCCUUGUCAUUAGUUGCUACGCAAGAGCACUCUAAUGAGACUGCCGGUGACAAACCGGAGGAAGGUGGGGAUGACGUCAAGUCCUCAUGGCCCUUAUGGGUAGGGCUUCACACGUCAUACAAUGGUCGGGACAGAGGGUCGCCAACCCGCGAGGGGGAGCCAAUCUCAGAAACCCGAUCGUAGUCCGGAUCGCAGUCUGCAACUCGACUGCGUGAAGUCGGAAUCGCUAGUAAU
rnacentral:rRNA from 1 species